rnacentral:rRNA from 1 species
GACGUAGGGCGCGAGCGUUGUCCGGAUUUAUUGGGCGUAAAGAGCUCGUAGGCGGCUUGUCGCGUCGAAUGUGAAAACUCGGGGCUCAACUCCGAGCUUGCAUUCGAUACGGGCAGGCUAGAGUCCGGUAGGGGAGACUGGAAUUCCUGGUGUAGCGGUGAAAUGCGCAGAUAUCAGGAGGAACACCGGUGGCGAAGGCGGGUCUCUGGGCCGAUACUGACGCUGAGGAGCGAAAGCGUGGGGAGCGAACAGG